UGGGGAAUAUUGCACAAUGGGGGAAACCCUGAUGCAGCGACGCCGCGUGAACGAAGAAGGUAUUCGUAUCGUAAAGUUCUGUCCUAUGGGAAGAUAAUGACAGUACCAUAGAAGAAAGCUCCGGCUAAAUACGUGCCAGCAGCCGCAGUAAUACGUAUGGAGCGAGCGUUGUCCGGAAUUAUUGGGCGUAAAGGGUACGCAGGCGGUUUAAUAAGUCGAAUGUUAAAGAUCGGGGCUCAACCCCGUAAAGCAUUGGAAACUGAUAAACUUGAGUAGUGGAGAGGAAAGUGGAAUUCCUAGUGUAGUGGUGAAAUACGUAGAUAUUAGGAGGAAUACCAGUAGCGAAGGCGACUUUCUGGACACAAACUGACGCUGAGGUACGAAAGCGUGGGGAGCAAACAGG
rnacentral:rRNA from 1 species